UUCCGUAGGUGAACCUGAACCUGCGGAGGGAUCAUUACCGAGUUUACAACUCCCAAACCCCUGUGAACAUACCUAUACGUUGCCUCGGCGGAUCAGCCCGCGCCCCGUAAAAAGGGACGGCCCGCCCGAGGACCCCUAAACUCUGUUUUUAGUGGAACUUCUGAGUAAAACAAACAAAUAAAUCAAAACUUUCAACAACGGAUCUCUUGGUUCUGGCAUCGAUGAAGAACGCAGCAAAAUGCGAUAAGUAAUGUGAAUUGCAGAAUUCAGUGAAUCAUCGAAUCUUUGAACGCACAUUGCGCCCGCCAGUAUUCUGGCGGGCAUGCCUGUUCGAGCGUCAUUUCAACCCUCAAGCUCAGCUUGGUGUUGGGACUCGCGGUAACCCGCGUUCCCCAAAUCGAUUGGCGGUCACGUCGAGCUUCCAUAGCGUAGUAAUCAUACACCUCGUUACUGGUAAUCGUCGCGGCCACGCCGUAAAACCCCAACUUCUGAAUGUG
rnacentral:rRNA from 1 species